UACGUAGGUGGCAAGCGUUGUCCGGAAUUAUUGGGCGUAAAGCGCGCGCAGGCGGUCCUUUAAGUCUGAUGUGAAAGCCCACGGCUCAACCGUGGAGGGUCAUUGGAAACUGGGGGACUUGAGUGCAGGAGAGAAGAGUGGAAUUCCACGUGUAGCGGUGAAAUGCGUAGAUAUCGGAAGGAACACCAGUGGCGAAAGCGGCUUCCUGGUCCAGCACCGACGUUCAGGCACGAAAGCGUGGGGAGCAAACAGG
rnacentral:rRNA from 1 species